UUCCAUGUCCUCCAAGUUUCAAGUUUUGGGGGCAGCAACCCAUGCUGAGUGGCUCCAAGUAUUUUGGGGACCUCCAAGAAUCAUCCCACAUUCCCCAGAGCAAGUUCAUCGCCUCUGCACAUCCUUUGACCAGGGAUUAUGCUUGCUAAUUUGGAUUCUACUAAGUCCCAUGAUCCUAAGGCUGGGUCUAGGAACCCAUGCACAGUACCCCAAGCCAUCCCAAGUGGGCUCAGUUUGGAUCCCAAAGAAAGAAGUACCUAAUACCAGGGUUGUGGUCCACACACUCACCAAGACAGUGUACACACAGAGGAGGCUACGAUGAGACAAGGAUGCUCUGUGGAGGUUCUUCAGCAGAUGUCAGCCACCCAUUCCAGGCCUCACAGAGGUUGUCACCGUCCACUGCCACAGAGGACUUCCACAGCCGUCAUCCAUCAACUAAUGAUGAGUCUUUUCCCUCCUCUUAUCAAGUUCUCCAUAGACCUGGCUCAUAUGGCAGACCGGAGGCUCUCUUGUUUCCAAAUCGUGGACGACAUAGAUGGCAAAUUUAGAACUGGAAGUGGACGAAGUAGAAAUAAUUAGGUACAAGAGAUGCAUAAACGCUGAGCGGAAGCUGCUGCCCGCACAGUUGGAAGUAGGUCCGGAACGAAUCUGAGUGGGGCUUAGGAGCAUCAAUCCGGAACACAGGAGAGCCACAGCAGAUACUACCCAGGUAGGUUUGUAUGUAGAGAACUCCCCCACACCCCUAGGUCUCAGAGGGAACAACACUGCCCUGAGACAACUGAAACUCUCAACAGCCUCUUAGAAGUGCCAGAAAUCUAAAUAAAAUCAGCGAUUAUUUUAGUCAUGGUAGCCAAGCCAAGCACUAAGCCCAUUCUAACCCUACCAGGUGGGCACUGGAGUUAACGCCUCCAUUUUAUAGAUUAAACAGGCGCUGAGGAUGAGUAACCUGGGGAGAGAGACAUUCAGGAAGUAAAUAUCUGCUGAUAAGGGGUGUGUGAUGAACGGUUGAAGCCACCUCCGUCUUUAGGCUCGCCAUCGAAUCAGCGGAUUUGGAGUCGACAGAGUUCUCCACCGAGAGACCGCGGUGUAACUGGGGGUAAACUUCCGCAGAUGGACAGGCUUCCGCACCAGACCCUCCCUUUCCGGAUUCCACAGCAAAGCCCGCCCCCGAGG
rnacentral:lncRNA from 1 species